AUACAGCCAUGGGAAAUACAUCUUACUACUUUGGUUAAUAAAAUAAAAAGAGGCAUUACAUAAAAUAAAAUCUCUUGUGGUUAACACUGGCUGUAUAUCUGGACCAAAUCAAUUACAGGUAUUCAACAUAAGAAGAGCAGCAGACAGGCACUCCAGCAAAUGAACAAUGAAGAAAAUGACAUCAUUUUACUCCACCCAGUGUUCUACUAUUUAAUAAAGAAGAAACUAAAACGACAACUUCAUGAGAACCCAUAAUGAAAGACACAACACUCCAUGGAGGAUAAGUACAACAAAAAAGAAAAAAACAUCACAGAAAGAAAACAAGUGAACUGGAAAAAAAAGAAGACUGACUCCUUUCCAACAGAGUAGUGAGCUGAUAGAAAAUGCCUAAUAGCAGUGCAAAGGAGAGUAAAGAAACACAUGAAAGUGUGGCUCUCAUAAGCAGAGGACUGGAUUACCAAGUUUUCAACAGACCUGGAGAACCUUUCCAAUUGUACUAACAACUGAGACUUCUAGAGUGCAGUAACAGGUAUCACAUUGAACUGACCUGUGUCAGGGGCUGCUGUGAACACUUAAAUGACUCCUUUUUCUGCACAAGACACUCAUACCUUUAUACCCCACACUACGGGGGCCUACUGUUCCCACCUUUUUUACCUCCUUUUAGAUUCAUAGCUGUCACCAUCUUUACCUUAAUCCUUCUGACAGCUCUAUCUGCUCCUUUUUAUCACUACUAGGCUGCCACUGCCACAAGGGAGGAUGAAAAUGUCAAAUACUUCAACUUUUCAGUUGUAUUCUCUUGGGUUUGACUGGUUUUUAGAGCUGUGAUCUUUAAAAUAUACUAAAGCAUUUGCUUCCUUUUUAUUCUGUUUUAACUUACCAUCAAC